rnacentral:rRNA from 1 species
GUGGGGAAUAUUGGACAAUGGGGGGAACCCUGAUCCAGCCAUGCCGCGUGUGUGAAGAAGGCCUUUUGGUUGUAAAGCACUUUAAGCGAGGAGGAGGCUACCGAGAUUAAUACUCUUGGAUAGUGGACGUUACUCGCAGAAUAAGCACCGGCUAACUCUGUGCCAGCAGCCGCGGUAAUACAGAGGGUGCAAGCGUUAAUCGGAUUUACUGGGCGUAAAGCGCGCGUAGGUGGCCAAUUAAGUCAAAUGUGAAAUCCCCGAGCUUAACUUGGGAAUUGCAUUCGAUACUGGUUGGCUAGAGUAUGGGAGAGGAUGGUAGAAUUCCAGGUGUAGCGGUGAAAUGCGUAGAGAUCUGGAGGAAUACCGAUGGCGAAGGCAGCCAUCUGGCCUAGUACUGACACUGAGGUGCGAAAGCAUGGGGAGCAAACAGGAUUAGAAACCCCUGUAGUCC